UGCAGAACCACCUGGCCGUUCCUCUGCCUAGGGGCUGGACAUGCCAGCCCCUUCCAGAAGCAGCGUGGAGCCAGGGCAGGCAGGGAGCCUGCCUUAGCCCACUGCACCACGGACCAGGAACUGCCUCAAGUGGCAAUAUGAACAAUCAAAGAGAAUUGCUGUUGCUGGAAAAGGAUGGGGAGAUCUAGCAUCAUGAUGAUUAAGCUGUGUGGCUGCGUUUGCAUGGUGGGAGCAACAUUUAGACCCAAUGCUGCAGAGAUUGAUGUGGUCCUCAGUUGUGGUACAAUUGUGUGGCUCUACUGAUGUACACCAACUAAGAGUCUGGCCCUUAAUGGAUUUUAAAAUGUCAUUGGAAUAUGGAUCUACAUCCUAGAAAAACAG